GAUCAUGGCUUAGGACGAACGCUGGCGGCGUGCUUAACACAUGCAAGUCGAACGAAGAGCGAUGGAAGCUUGCUUCUAUCAAUCUUAGUGGCGAACGGGUGAGUAACGCGUAAUCAACCUGCCUUUCAGAGGGGGGACAACAGUUGGAAACGACUGCUAAUACCGCAUACGAUCCAACCUCGGCAUCGAGGAUGGAUGAAAGGUGGCCUCUAUUUAUAAGCUAUCACUGAAGGAGGGG
rnacentral:rRNA from 1 species